CUUAACAUAUUUUAUAUAUUGUUGUUUUUGAUGUAUUUUCUGUCAAAAAUUCAAGGAAAAGAUACAUGUAGCGCUGCCUAAAACAAAUAAAAAUUCAAUUAACAUAAGUACGUAAAUACACUAAAGACUCAUAACCAAAAUGCAUAGGAUUGGUAGGAAGAUGAAAACUGAAAAUGAGCAAAUUGCGACCUCUGAUACGAACAAGAAUGUGAUGUUAUAUUCGAUGUUAACAGCAUCCAAUCUACUUUAGAAAACACUACUUCAUUAUUUAUAUGAUGAUUUAAUUGAUACAUUGAUGUUUUCAUAUAGCGUAUAGAAUGAAUUAGUCUCAAAAGAUAUAUCUUUCGAUAUGACAAAUGAAAUGACGCAUAAACAAUUUAUAUAUGGAAUAUUGAAAUUGCGCAUGUGAAACUUGAAACAACGGAAAAUAAUCACAAGAUUUAAUGAAGAGACAUGAACAAAUAGAUGCAUUUACCAUGUCUAUCAUAGUAGAAUUUUACAGGAGCCGAUAAUUUUUUGCAGUUAUUCGAGUUUCCGACACAUCCGAGUUUGGCACAACGAGGUUCAACUAUGCAUAUUCGAACAAACAAGGCUCUAUAAAAGACUCGUAACCAGUAACCUGGAAUAGUUACAAUGAAAUGCCAGUCAUCCGGAAUAAUUUCCAUAGAAUUCGAGUCAUCCGGAAUAGUUACAAUGAAAUUCGAUUCAUCCGGAAUAGGUACAAUGAAAUUCGAGUCAUCCGGAAUCGGUACAAUGAAAUUCGAGUCAUCCGGAAUAGUUACAAUUUAAUUCAAAUGCGCUUCCCUUAAAAAAAUAUGUAAUAAUCACCAAUAUAACAUACUCACAUACUGUUCGUGAUAUUUAUAAAGAUAAUAAUAUAUUCAAUCGUUUCGUAUUCGAUCAAGAUAAGCCAUCGCCCAAUUUACAGUCACCAAUAACAAUAUGUCCUUUUCGUAUAUUUCAAUAACAUACACUACAGCUGUGAACAUAUCACAACAGCCAUUGGUAGUUAUAAUAUAUACUCUGAUUGACAGCUUGCGAUAUGGUUUUGUCAGUUGGCAGGUUCAGUAUAACUAGGUCAAGUACGUAUCAAUUCUUUUAGUUAACGAUAAUUUUAUUUGAUCUGUGCUUUUGUGUUGUAAUAGAGCGUUAUCAAAGACUUGAUGGGAUUAACUGUCUUUAAAUACUAAUGUUAAUAGUAGUAUGUUUGAUAAUGUUAUGUUUAAGUAUUCAAAAUUAGAAUUGAAUGCAUUUCGUCAUUUCAUAAAAAAAUGAUGCUCUUAUUGACAUUUACAAUGAUAUCGUAGUUUAAAUUUUCAACAUAAAGUUAUUUUGUUUGAUAUUUGAUCGACAACAUUUUACCUUUAAUUAUUUAUUGGUAUUCGAUGUAUUUGACUUUACAACUUAAUAAGCUAUAAUAUCACCAUAAAAACAUGUAAGGUCGAAAUGAGCAUCUGGACCGAGAAUGUAGUCCAUUUAACGUAUUCUUCUGUUGCACUUUGUGUAAGUUUGAGAUCACGUGGUACGGCAUAUUUGAAUAAUUAUUGUUAUAAUUCGAACAUUUACAGGCUACUGCACUCCCAGAAUUGCAUUCAAAGAAUUAAAUAAACAAUAUCUGUUUAUAAUAGAAUAAUGGCAAUCUUUCAUAAAAGGUUUGAAAAUGGAAGUUUUGUUAACCGAGUUUAUAUUUAUUUUGACCACAUAAUAAGUUUAACUAGCUGAGCUCAAUCUUGAAACCUUUCCGGAUAGCAAGAGAUCCUCAAAAUAUGUUUGUAGUGUUUGUGAUGACAGUAUAAAAAUGGUCUGUCUUUAAUUGCAAUGUAUGUACCAGCCUUUAAUCGAUCAAUGAGUUUAAAAAUGUCUAUUUGAUAUCUUCCGCCUCGUUCUUUUACAAUUAAAUAAGAGAAUAUUUCAACGAUGAUUGUAUUGUUAUUUGUCGUAAAUAUUGUACCUUUUACCUUUCUUUUCAGCGAUAUGCACACCAAAAAGAUUUAAUUGAAGUGUGAGGCUAGCUGUUAACAUCAACAUGUCGUGAAAAAAGACAAACAAACCACUUUGCAUAAUCAAAUGUAAGUACGCGAGCCAUGGGAGAGAGGAGUAUGACUAUUAACUAAUGUUUUGUCAAGUCUUGGAAUAAUUACGAGGAAUCCCAAACCUUUAGGAGUUGCGUCCAAGCUGGGGUAAUUUGCAUUAAGUGUAUUAAAAAAACAAUUUCGAACCAAUUCGUUCUGUUAAAAUUUCUUUGUUAUUGUGAGGUUCCUGUCCAAACCGAAUCUUGUAUGAAACUGUAACCUGUCUAAACCAAACAUAUUCUUCAGUCCACGUAUAUCAAACCUAAUGCUUGUAAAUCUGAUUAAACCGAACCUCUGCUAAAACCGAACAAAAUCUUUACUCUAGUCAAGGAUUUGUUUAAACAGGUUUCACUGUAUUUGAAGAAGUUUGUACCACUCUAUAAUUAUAAGAUGAAUAAGAAGAAGAUAAGAAGGCAUCGUCUUAGUGAUCAGACGCUUGGGGUAGUAUUUUUUUCUAAAUAGCUUAAUUUUUCAUUUUCAGAUACAAAAACCCUUGCAAUGAAUAAUGCAGCUAAGGUGAUCCGUAGAGAAUGCAUGAUGCAUAACAUCUUUGAUUCGUAGAUACAGAGACAAACCAACAAAUAAAUAAAACAUUUGCCUUAAAUUAGUAGCCUAAACUCAGAAGUGGAGCAAACACUUAGAUUACGAAUUUCAGAGUGGCACAGUGCAAUGUUUUUGUGUUUCCUUUGAUAUGCGGUGAUGUUCUUUGCAUCCGGAACAAAGCCCUUCGUCACAUUCAAAACACCAGAUUAUGGAUGGUUCAAUACUACUACGGAGAUCGCAUUAUGGAUUAUGAAAAAAGAAAUUUUACUUAACAUGUCCCCAAAAUAUAAGUUUCUUCAUCAUCAACUGUUUUGUUCUUUCUAAGUUGAAUUCUUACGUUUCAAAUUAGGUAUUAAAACAAAACAUCUAGGAAGUGUGUGACUAAAGAUUAAUGGAUUAACUUCUGAUAUUUUCAAAACUAGAGACACCCAUGAAACAGACAAGCUCAACUGACAAAUAUGUCAUUUUCAUGUAGUUAUUCUCAAUAUCACCUACAUGUAACUGUUUUGUUUGCUAACCUUUACAUAAUCUCAUCGAUUGUAAUGUUUUCAAUUUUAUUUUUUCCUCGAUAGUUUGUAAGGAAAUUAGCCAAAAACACACAAAAAAAGUAACAAUAGUUUCUCAAUUUGCAGAAACAUUGAGUAAAGAUACCUUUUAUUUAGGUGAACAUUUAAAGCAAUUAUUAGUUUUAACCUACUUCUUCUUUUUGUUAAGGGACAUGUAGAUGAAAACUGCGAAACAAAAAGAAUUUGAGAAGCAACAACCCCAAAAACAGAUUGUUUGAUAUUUCAAUAUUUAAAAAUGUAAACAUAUCUCACUAUAUUAAUUAUUUAAAUAAUUUUCAAUUCUAAACCCUAAUUUUUUUAUCUUCCAAAAUAACUUAUACAAACUUAGAAAAUUAGAUACAUCAUGGGCAAUACCGCCAAUAGAGUUUAACACA
rnacentral:lncRNA from 1 species